UUAAGCGACUAAGCGUACACGGUGGAUGCCCUGGCAGUCAGAGGCGAUGAAGGACGUGCUAAUCUGCGAUAAGCGUCGGUGAGGUGAUAUGAACCGUUAUAACCGGCGAUUUCCGAAUGGGGAAACCCAGUGUGUUUCGACACACUAUCAUUAACUGAAUCCAUAGGUUAAUGAGGCGAACCGGGGGAACUGAAACAUCUAAGUACCCCGAGGAAAAGAAAUCAACCGAGAUUCCCCCAGUAGCGGCGAGCGAACGGGGAGGAGCCCAGAGCCUGAAUCAGUGUGUGUGUUAGUGGAAGCGUCUGGAAAGGCGCGCGAUACAGGGUGACAGCCCCGUACACAAAAAUGCACAUAUUGUGAGCUCGAUGAGUAGGGCGGGACACGUGGUAUCCUGUCUGAAUAUGGGGGGACCAUCCUCCAAGGCUAAAUACUCCUGACUGACCGAUAGUGAACCAGUACCGUGAGGGAAAGGCGAAAAGAACCCCGGCGAGGGGAGUGAAAAAGAACCUGAAACCGUGUACGUACAAGCAGUGGGAGCCUCUUAAUGGGGUGACUGCGUACCUUUUGUAUAAUGGGUCAGCGACUUAUAUUCUGUAGCAAGGUUAACCGAAUAGGGGAGCCGAAGGGAAACCGAGUCUUAACUGGGCGUUAAGUUGCAGGGUAUAGACCCGAAACCCGGUGAUCUAGCCAUGGGCAGGUUGAAGGUUGGGUAACACUAACUGGAGGACCGAACCGACUAAUGUUGAAAAAUUAGCGGAUGACUUGUGGCUGGGGGUGAAAGGCCAAUCAAACCGGGAGAUAGCUGGUUCUCCCCGAAAGCUAUUUAGGUAGCGCCUCGUGAAUUCAUCUCCGGGGGUAGAGCACUGUUUCGGCAAGGGGGUCAUCCCGACUUACCAACCCGAUGCAAACUGCGAAUACCGGAGAAUGUUAUCACGGGAGACACACGGCGGGUGCUAACGUCCGUCGUGAAGAGGGAAACAACCCAGACCGCCAGCUAAGGUCCCAAAGUCAUGGUUAAGUGGGAAACGAUGUGGGAAGGCCCAGACAGCCAGGAUGUUGGCUUAGAAGCAGCCAUCAUUUAAAGAAAGCGUAAUAGCUCACUGGUCGAGUCGGCCUGCGCGGAAGAUGUAACGGGGCUAAACCAUGCACCGAAGCUGCGGCAGCGACACUAUGUGUUGUUGGGUAGGGGAGCGUUCUGUAAGCCUGUGAAGGUGGCCUGUGAGGGUUGCUGGAGGUAUCAGAAGUGCGAAUGCUGACAUAAGUAACGAUAAAGCGGGUGAAAAGCCCGCUCGCCGGAAGACCAAGGGUUCCUGUCCAACGUUAAUCGGGGCAGGGUGAGUCGACCCCUAAGGCGAGGCCGAAAGGCGUAGUCGAUGGGAAACAGGUUAAUAUUCCUGUACUUGGUGUUACUGCGAAGGGGGGACGGAGAAGGCUAUGUUGGCCGGGCGACGGUUGUCCCGGUUUAAGCGUGUAGGCUGGUUUUCCAGGCAAAUCCGGAGAAUCAAGGCUGAGGCGUGAUGACGAGGCACUACGGUGCUGAAGCAACAAAUGCCCUGCUUCCAGGAAAAGCCUCAAAGCAUCAGGUAACAUCAAAUCGUACCCCAAACCGACACAGGUGGUCAGGUAGAGAAUACCAAGGCGCUUGAGAGAACUCGGGUGAAGGAACUAGGCAAAAUGGUGCCGUAACUUCGGGAGAAGGCACGCUGAUAUGUAGGUGAAGCGACUUGCUCGUGGAGCUGAAAUCAGUCGAAGAUACCAGCUGGCUGCAACUGUUUAUUAAAAACACAGCACUGUGCAAACACGAAAGUGGACGUAUACGGUGUGACGCCUGCCCGGUGCCGGAAGGUUAAUUGAUGGGGUUAGCGGCAACGCGAAGCUCUUGAUCGAAGCCCCGGUAAACGGCGGCCGUAACUAUAACGGUCCUAAGGUAGCGAAAUUCCUUGUCGGGUAAGUUCCGACCUGCACGAAUGGCGUAAUGAUGGCCAGGCUGUCUCCACCCGAGACUCAGUGAAAUUGAACUCGCUGUGAAGAUGCAGUGUACCCGCGGCAAGACGGAAAGACCCCGUGAACCUUUACUAUAGCUUGACACUGAACAUUGAGCCUUGAUGUGUAGGAUAGGUGGGAGGCUUUGAAGUGUGGACGCCAGUCUGCAUGGAGCCGGCCUUGAAAUACCACCCUUUAAUGUUUGAUGUUCUAACGUGGGCCCCUAAUCGGGGUUGCGGACAGUGUCUGGUGGGUAGUUUGACUGGGGCGGUCUCCUCCUAAAGAGUAACGGAGGAGCACGAAGGUUGGCUAAUCCUGGUCGGACAUCAGGAGGUUAGUGCAAUGGCAUAAGCCAGCUUGACUGCGAGCGUGACGGCGCGAGCAGGUGCGAAAGCAGGUCAUAGUGAUCCGGUGGUUCUGAAUGGAAGGGCCAUCGCUCAACGGAUAAAAGGUACUCCGGGGAUAACAGGCUGAUACCGCCCAAGAGUUCAUAUCGACGGCGGUGUUUGGCACCUCGAUGUCGGCUCAUCACAUCCUGGGGCUGAAGUAGGUCCCAAGGGUAUGGCUGUUCGCCAUUUAAAGUGGUACGCGAGCUGGGUUUAGAACGUCGUGAGACAGUUCGGUCCCUAUCUGCCGUGGGCGCUGGAGAACUGAGGGGGGCUGCUCCUAGUACGAGAGGACCGGAGUGGACGCAUCACUGGUGUUCGGGUUGUCAUGCCAAUGGCACUGCCCGGUAGCUAAAUGCGGAAGAGAUAAGUGCUGAAAGCAUCUAAGCACGAAACUUGCCCCGAGAUGAGUUCUCCCUGACCCUUUAAGGGUCCUGAAGGAACGUUGAAGACGACGACGUUGAUAGGCCGGGUGUGUAAGCGCAGCGAUGCGUUGAGCUAACCGGUACUAAUGAACCGUGAGGCUUAACCUU
rnacentral:rRNA from 1 species